CAAUAGCGUAUAUUAAAGUUGUUGCGGUUAAAAAGCUCGUAGUUGGAUUUCUGCCGAGGACGACCGGUCCGCCCUCUGGGUGAGUAUCUGGCUCGGCCUGGGCAUCUUCUUGGAGAACGUAGCUGCACUUGACUGUGUGGUGCGGUAUCCAGGACUUUUACUUUGAGGAAAUUAGAGUGUUUCAAGCAGGCUUACGCCUUGAAUACAUUAGCAUGGAAUAAUAAGAUAGGACCUCGGUUCUAUUUUGUUGGUUUCUAGAGCUGAGGUAAUGAUUAAUAGGGAUAGUUGGGGGCAUUCGUAUUUAACUGUCAGAGGUGAAAUUCUUGGGUUUGUUAAAGACGGACUACUGCGAAAGCAUUUGCCAAGGAUGUUUUCAUUGA
rnacentral:rRNA from 1 species